ensembl:ncRNA lncRNA:CR44528 long non-coding RNA:CR44528
AGUAAGCUAUGUAGAAAUUGUAAUUGCAUAAUUGCAAAAGACGAACGAAUAAUAUUUUUCACGCUCAAAAUUUUUCACAUUUAAUACAAGGAAUUUUCCUCAGUGCAGACAACUGCCAAACAAAUAGCCAACAACAAGAGCCGAAGCGACAACAAGGCCAACAAUGGCGGCAUUCAAUUUUUAAUAUUUGCCUUGCAAAUUUUGUAUAAAAUGCAUUUGUUGUCUACAAGCCUCCAGGCCGCCAUCCCCUGGAAUUACCAGGCCCCCGCCCCUUAAAAUUGGUGGGCGGAAGAAGACCGGAGACCGAUGACUGGCGGAGGGCACACUAUCGCCCAAUAACACCCGGAACGGGGAAGCUCCAAAAGCUGGAAAACUGGCAACUGGCAACAGGAAGCAGCCAGCGCCGGGCCAAAGUGGGAAAGUGAAUGGAGCACGGCAAUGUCAACACAUGGAAAUUGCAAGGACAGCGGCAAAAAAAAAGAGGGAAAACAGGGAAAACCGAAAAGGAAAACGAAUAGCAGCAGCCACAGUAACUAUAAACUGGAAUGAUAUUGCCAACGAACAUACUAGAACGGCACUGAAAACAAUUUACUCCUUUGAAAUAAACCCAUAUAAUUCCAAACUAUCUUCGUAUCUGGUGCAAAAGUAUCUAAAACUCCAUCGGGUUAAAGUACGCGAGAUGCAGUGAAAGCUUUCUUGUUAAUAAAAUGUUGUUUUCAGUGCAGGCAAAUGGCAAAAGCGCAGCUAGUGAACCCAGUAGGACCCAAGAUAGCUCCUAGAACGAAGUUAGGCUGGGCCGGGCGGAAGCAAUAAAUUGGUUAGGUAAAAAGCUUGUCGCAAACGCAGACACCGGUAAAAAGCGGCACGCGAGGCCGAGACAGGCCCGUAAUUUUUGCCCACCAAAAAGGCAGAGGAGGAGGAGGAGACGGAGUGAAAUAGAGGUGCCCAAGGAUGGUUUAUUUCCCAUGAGGUUGCAAAUUAAUACU